rnacentral:lncRNA from 1 species
AAUAAUGUUCUAGACUUUAAAACAUUUUUGCUGGAUUUACUCUUAUUCAAUAAAAUUAAAAAGCAAAAUGUGUGACUAUGUUAUAAAUGAUUGUAAGUGAACAAAAAGGAGAUAAAUGUUUAUGUCAAUAAUCCCAAAACCUACCAAUAUAAACAUACUAAAAGUCGUCUAUUAUAGUCCAACCAAACGGCCUUCAACAAAGGGUAAGUGUCUUUUUACCAUAUACCAAACAGUUUUUUGUAAAAUUUACAACAUUUAUGUACGCAAAUACGUUAAAAGCCAUAGAUAAUGCAAAAUUGAUUGUAAGCUGCUUUAGUUAACAAACAGUGGCAUAUAUUACGUAUAUAUUCAGAACGAACACAUGUACCUGCUUUGUACUAGACCGACACUUUGCAUCGAAUAAGUUCACACAUAAAAAGACAUCAGAAGGGACACAAAAAAAACCAUGUUUGCAUUGUAAAAUCGGUGUACGUGGAUUUAAACGGCCAAUGUUACAAAUCCGUCAACGAAAUAAAACACAAAGCAAUAUUUACCGUGCCAGUUCAACAUCAUCGGUAUUCCGCAAUAUUGUCUAUUUUAAAUCUGACUUUUUUGUAAUAAACUUAAACGAUCAUAAACUCGGCCAUUUGAGAACUUGAC